rnacentral:lncRNA from 1 species
GCCCUUAUUAGCUAUGCUUCUCUGUUGUGCAGAGACAACAGGCUGCCUCGCUAAACGAUGCACACCUGUAACUCACGUGACCCUGAUUAUUAUUGAAACGAGAACGAGGACGUCGUGCCUUUAUAAGACUGCGUUAAUGUUUCCGUGGAGUUAACCGUUCCGUUGUUGUUUAUUGAUUGUUAAACAUGGCGUCAUUUGCAAAGGUGGUUGUGUGUGUCCUCGUUGCUUGUGUCUGUAAUGCAUUCUGUCUUCCGAAGAGAGAUGUGAACUUUAAGGCCUCUGCAGUUGACCGCCAAAGUGAUGAUGUGGUUGUCGCCACAACACCCGUUCCCCACAACCAGACCACAUCUGCCCAUACUGAAGCUGGUGGUGGUGCAAGUGAAGAUGCUGUGGCUACUACCCCAGCACCUAAUCCACACAACCAGACAACUUCUGCACAAACUGAAGUUACUGGUAGGGUGUUUCUUAGUUUUUGUGUGGUUUUCUGCAAGUUUGGUUUUUGUAUAAAAUGUCUAAGUGUGUCCCUUGGCUUCUCUUUGGCCCCCUCACUCAUGUGGAAUCCCAAGAUGGAGCCAGUGAAGAUGCUGUGGACCGCCAAAGUGAUGUGGUUGUCGUCACAACACCCGUUCCCCACAACCAGACCACAUCUGCCUAUACUGAAGCUGGUGGUGAGGUUUUCUUUUGCGAAAUGUAUGGGUUCUGUUGAGUCUUGGUUGUGUUGGUUAAAUGUUGACUCUUGUAUGUGUAUCCUAAGAUGGAGCAAGUGAAGAUGCUGUGGCUACCACCCCAACACCAAAUCCCCCAACUACAUCUGACCACACUGCAGCUACCGGUAAGGACAUCAGUGCAUGUCUGUUUUGAUGGAACACUUUGAAUGUUUGCGCCCCCCUUUUGACAGUUUCGCUUUAUAUUUCUGUGUAAUCGCAAGAUGAUGCAAGUGAGGGUGCUGUGGCUGCCACCCAAACUCCUGAAGUCCAGACUAAAUCUGCCCAAACUGGAACUACUG